rnacentral:rRNA from 1 species
ACUACGACCUCAGAUCAGACGUGGAGACCUGCUGAAUUUAAGCAUAUUACUAAGCAGAGGAAAAGAAACUAACCAGAAUUCCCCCAGUAACGGUGAGUGAAGAGCCCAGCAGUGAAUCCCCAUCCGGCGGCAGGCCCUGGAAAUGUGGCGACGCUCACAGGGCCCAAGUCUUUCUGAUCGAGACUCACCCUGCAGACGGUGUUAGGCCGGUAGGGGCCCCCGGCGCGCCGGUUCGGGUCUUCUCAGAGUCAGGGUGCUUUUGAAUGUAGCCCAAAGUGGGUGAACUCAAUCUAAGACUAAAUACGGGCGCAAGACCGAUAGCCAACAAGUACCGUAAGGGAAAGUUGAAAAGAACUUUGAAGAGAGAGUUUAAGAGGGUGGGAAACCACAGAGUGGUAAAGGGGUGGGGUCCGUGCAGUCCGCCUUGAGGAGUCAAUACGGCAGGCAAGUCAGUAUUCCCAGAACGGCGGAUCCCCUCCUGGGACUGCCACCCGCGUGCACCCGGCCUUUGCCCCCUGACGGCUCUUGGUCGGCUGGGCAGGUGGCUCUCCGCUCCAGCGGAGAGUGUUACAGCCACCUGACAGCAUUUUUUUCGUGGUGUCCGCGGGGCCAAGGGAGAUUGACCGAUGCUGCGCACUUCUCUGGCAACCGUCCCGGCCCCUCUAGGGGGCGACGACAGUGGACGUGGCUCCCGGUGCGACUGUUGACUCGGGUGGACUGUCCUCCGUGCGCCUGAUCGUGCAGCCAGGCGGGAUGCCCACAAAGGGUGCCAGGGUUCUGCAGUGAUGUCUGUAACCCACCCAACCCGUCUUGAAACACAGACAAGAGUCGAACAUGUACGCGAGUCAGAGGGCCAAACAAAACCCUGUGGCGCAAUGAAGGUGGGGCUGGCGCGCACGGUCUGAGGUGUGAUCCUAUCACAGCGGUUGCACCACCGGCCUGUCUCGCCCGCUCUGUCGAGGAGGUGGAGCAUGAGCAUGUGUGAUGAGGCCUGAAAGAGGGUGACCUAUGCCUAGGCACGGCGAAGCCAGAGGAACCUCUGGUGCAGGUCCGUAGCGGUUUUGACAUGCAAUCGGUCAUCUGACUUUUGUAUAGGGGCGAAAGACUUAUUGAACCAUCUAGUAGCUGGUUCCCUCAGAAGUUUCCCUUAGGAUAGCUGGUGCUCAGAAACCCCAGUUUUAUCUGAUAAAGCGAAUGGUUAGAGGUCUUGGGGCAAAAAGAUCACAGCCUAUUAUCAAACUUUAAAUGGGUAAGAAGCCCGGCUCGCUGGCAUGGAGCUGGGCAUCGAAUGCGAGUGCCCAGUGGGCCACUUUUGAUAAGCUGAACUGGUGCUGCGGGAUGAACCGUAUGCCUAUUAAGGCGCCCGAUGCCGACGCUCAUCAGACCCCAGAAAAGGUGUUGGUCAAUAUAGACAGCAGGACGGUGGCCAUGGAAGUUGGAAUCUGAUAAGGAGUUUUGUAACAACUCGCCUGCCAAAUCAACUAGCCCUAAAAAUGGAUGGUGCUGGAGCAUCUGUCCCAUACCCGGCCGGAGCUGAGAGCCGCGGGGGCAAAGCCGCGACCAGUGGGAGGGUCGCUGGGGUGCGCACGGAAACCUGGGGCGCUGGCUCAGGUGGUGGCGCCUCAGGUGCACAUCUUGGUGGUAGUAGCAAAUAUUCAAACGAGAACUUUGAAAGCCGAAGUGGAGAAGGGUUCCAUGUGAGCAGCAGUUGAACAUGGGUCAGUCGGUCCUAAGAGAUGGGAGAGUGCUGUUCUGAAGGGACGGGCGAUAGCCUCUGUUGCCCUCACCAGAUCGAAUGGGAGUCAGGUUCAGAUCCCUGUACCCCGAGUGGCGGAGACAGUGCCGUUGGGGCGUCCAAUGCCGUAACACAAACUAUCGCGGAGAAGCCGGCGGGAGAACCCGGGAAGAGUUCUUUUCUUUGUGUAGAGCAGGGCACCCUGGAAUGGGUUCGCCCCGAGAGCAGGGACCGAGCCUUGGAAAACAUUGCGGUUCUUGCAGCGUCCAGUGAGCUCUUGCUGGCCCUCAAUAAUCUGGGGGAAUCGGCGGGGAAAGAAUACCCAUUUGAGCUUGACUCUAGUCUGGCACUGUGAAGAGACAUGAGACGUGUAAGGUAAGUGGGAGACCCUCGGGCCAGCUGGGAAAUAUCACUACUCUUAUUGUUUUUUCAUUUAUCCAGUGAGGUGGGUGGGGAGCCCCGUGGGGCUCUCGCUUCUGUCUCCAAGUGCCUGGCACCACCCGCUCCGCGGACCGUGGCAGGUGGGGAGUUUGACUGGGGCGGUACACCUGUCAAACGUUAACGUAGGUGUCCUAAGGCGAGAUCAGGGAGGACAGAAACCUCCCGCAGAGCAGAAGGGCAGACACUCGCUUGAUCUCUAUUUUCAGUAUGAAUACAGACCAUGAAAGAAGGGCCUUGCGAUCCUUCUUACUUUUUGGGUUUCAAGCAGGUGGUGUCAGAAAAGUUAACGCAGGGUAGUGGCAGCCAAGCGUUCAUAGCAAGGUUGCUUUUUGUUUUUGAUCCUUUCAUGUCAGCUCUUCCUAUCAUUGUGAAGCAGAAUUUAACAAGCGUUGGAUUGUUCACCCACUAAUGGGGAACGUGAGCUGGGUUUAGACCGUUGUGAGACAGGUUAGUUUUACCCUACUGAUGAUGUCUUUUUGCAAUAGUGAUCCUACUCCGUAUGAGAAGAACCACAGGUUGAAGCAUUUGAUGUAUGUGCUUGGCUGAGGAGCCAAUGGGCGAAGCUACCAUCUGUGGGAUUAUGACUGAAUGCUUCCAAGUCAGAAUCCUCCCUAACCAUAACGAUACCGCAGCGCUGUGGAGCCUCGGUUGGCCUGGGAUAGCCGGCCUCUGAGCUGGUGCGUAGAGCCGCUUGCCUCGGGACUCGAGUGUGAACAGAAGGGUGCCACCUCUAUCGCCCGUAGUGCACUGCUGUUUGUGUGGAUCCUGGUGCUAAAUCAUUCAUAGACUACCUGAUUCUGGGUCAGGGUUUCGUAAGUAGCAGAGCAGCUACCUUGGUGCGAUCUAUUGAAAGUCGUCC